rnacentral:tRNA from 1 species
GGGCCGCUAGCUCAGUGGUAGAGCAUCGCUUUGACGUAGCGAGGGUCGGGGAUUCGAUCUCCUCGCGGCCCACCA